AAUUGUGGUCAUGUCUUUCUGGCUCAUUUGUUAAGUUUUCAAAUGGGCCUGACUCUGCCACAUAUAUUAUAUAGGAGCUGAUAUUGACUUGAAAACAGAGAGAUCUUUCUUAAGCUUUUCCUGCAUCAGAGAUUGGCUCCCACAUGU
ensembl:snoRNA SNORA12 small nucleolar RNA, H/ACA box 12